GUAGGGGGCAAGCGUUGUCCGGAUUUAUUGGGCGUAAAGAGCGUGUAGGCGGUCUGGUAGGUCCGUUGUGAAAACUCGAGGCUCAACCUCGAGACGCCGAUGGAAACCAUCAGACUAGAGUCCGGAAGAGGAGAGUGGAAUUCCUGGUGUAGCGGUGAAAUGCGCAGAUAUCAGGAAGAACACCCGUGGCUAAGGCGGCUCUCUAGUACGGUACUGACGCUGAGACGCGAAAGCGUGGGGAGCGAACAGGAUUAGAUACCCUGGUAGUCCACGCCGUAAACGAUGGGUGCUAGGUGUAGGGGGUGUCGACUCCCUCUGUGCCGAAGCUAACGCAUUAAGCACCCCGCCUGGGGAGUACGGCCGCAAGGCUA
rnacentral:rRNA from 1 species